rnacentral:rRNA from 1 species
GCGGAGGAAAAGAAACUAACAAGGAUUCCCCUAGUAACGGCGAGUGAAGCGGGAAGAGCUCAAAUUUGUAAUCUGGCCCUUUCAGGGUCCGAGUUGUAAUCUCGAGAAGUGUUUUCCGCGCCGGACCGCAUACAAGUCUGUUGGAAUACAGCGUCAUAGUGGUGAGAGCCCCGUAAUUGAUGUGGAUGCCCGGUGCUUUGUGAUACACUUUCGAAGAGUCGAGUUGUUUGGGAAUGCAGCUCAAAUUGGGUGGUAAAUUCCAUCUAAAGCUAAAUAUUGGCGAGA